GUCGGUGAAGGGCAGGCCGUGCUCAGCGAGCUGCGCAGCCUGGAGGCGGCGCCCGCGCGGUGCGGGGUGUGAGCGCUUCUCGGUGAGCGGCCCGCGUGCCGCGGGGCGGGGGCGGCGGCGGGGUGCUGCCCUCGGGCAGGCCCGCACCGACUCCCGACUGGCCACCGAUUUGCUGUGUCCUUGGCACAAAUGAGAGAAACGAGAGCUACUUUGGAGUUGUCAGGAGGCUUGAACAAGAUAACGACGCAAAUAGAAGCCUCUGGAACAGAAGCGAAGGUGGGACAGUGAAGCUUCAACAAGAAGACAGCAAACCAGGGAGGGACUGUCACCGGACACUAGAUCUGCUCCAGCCUCCAGAACUGGAAAUAAGCAACUGUACGGUCGUUGCUUUUUAAGUUUCAAACUGACAUUCCAGGCGGGCUGUGCCUGAGCCAGCAACUGCCUUCAGAUCUUCAGAGCUCGGGUCCUGGGAAGGUGGAGUCACCAGCUUCUCCCUGGUGAGUAUGUUUCUGUCACUUUCAUGUUCAUUUCUGCAUUUUAUGCCUUAGAGUCUCAGCUCUGUUAAAGCUGGGGAGUCUUGGCGUGGACACCGUGUUUGGUUCAGGCUUUGAAGAUCGAUGAUUUUAGAUCCUGGCUCACCCAGCUCCUGCCCCCAUAGCUACUGUACGUGAGCCUGAUUGUCUGGAGAAGUUUCUCAGCCGUUAACUGUGAGACUGUAGAUGUGGUCUUGGAGGGGACAGUGAUGCUUUGGCUGGAAAAAAAGUGCUUGAGAUUCCUCUCUGGUGCCAAAGGGAGGUUCAGAGAUGGAGGUGGGUGACUUUGUGCUAACCCAGGGGUGCUGAGGCUGGGCCAGCUUCCUCUUCUCAUAGGUGGAGGAAAGACGGCUUCUGAGCAAUUUCUGGCCGCGUGGUCUGAGUUACCCACUUUAAGUGCAAAAAAUGCAAUAGAGAGGCAGGAUUUUGGCUUCCCUCUCUAAAAGCAUGUGAAUGACUCCUGGAGCUUAUAAUAUGUCUUUUGCCUUUCCUUAACACUGAAAGUCACACACUGUAGUAAAAUUGGACAGAAAAGGUGCCGGGGGCUGCGGGCAGGGGCUGAGGAUGGG
rnacentral:lncRNA from 1 species